GCCAAACUUGUAUAUCGAUCGGCAAUAUGGUUCACAAGGCUAGCGUUGUUUACAUGAUUCCCAUAAUUAUAUUGCUAUUGUUCGCAUCCAAAGUAGUCUUUGCCAAUUUUUCUGAAAAUCCAAAACACUAUGAUGUAGAGAAGAUGAUCAGUAGGUCGCGUCUGCUAAUGGAGAUUAUUCCGACAAUGAAAGUAGCUGUACCAAAAGGAACUAUGCUGUCUGGAAGCGGGAAUGUUACACAUUGAAUACGGAAAUUGCGGAUUAGGACGCUAUUGGACAAUAUCCUCCACCACUACCACCACAUUAGACUUGUAUUAGGAUUUUAUUAUUGUACUUUGUCAAUUUAUGUGUACAUUCUUAAUAUAAUAUAUAUUAUGGA